rnacentral:rRNA from 1 species
UACGAAGGGUGCAAGCGUUACUCGGAAUUACUGGGCGUAAAGCGUGUGUAGGUGGCCGCGCAAGUCGGAUGUGAAAGCCCUGGGCUCAACUCAGGAAGUGCACCCGAUACUGCGUGGCUCGAGUACCGGAGAGGUUGGUGGAAUUCUCGGUGUAGAGGUGAAAUUCGUAGAUAUCGAGAGGAACACCUGUGGCGAAGGCGGUUGCCUGGGGCUUUGCUGACGCUGAUGCGCGAAAGCGUGGGGAGCGAUCCGG